UUUAUUGUAGGAUGAAUUCUGCUGCCUCAAUGAUACUCUUUUGGAUAUGCGCUUGCACAUUGAGUCAGAUAUGGAGCAGACUGGAGGACUGGGGAUAAGACUUGCAUCAUGUACAUAGCAGGAAACUCCUACAUUCUGAAGUGAAUUGACUGAUAAGGGCUUGGGUGAUGCAGUGCAAGAGUCCAUGGAGUCAACUUGCUAUGGCAUUGAAGCAAAGAGGCAUAGAAAGGAAGACUAACCAAGAAAAUGGUAGAAGAAUCUGGCUACAGCUCCAGGGCCUUUUGACUAUCUGGCACUUUCAAAAGUAUUGUGUAAGUCUCCUUGUUGGCGGUCCUGGUGUCCUUCACUGCACAAUAUAGGGGAGGAAGUUUAGUUUGGGCAGCGGCACCAAGGAAGAUCCAUGGCUCAAAGUCUUAAAGGCUUUGCCAUAAAAAUCCAGAAUAUCUGCUUUGAACUGGA